rnacentral:rRNA from 1 species
AAUGCCGGAUGCUCCAUCACACUGCAUGGUGUGUUGGGAAAGCCUUUGCGGCAUGGGAUGGGGUCGCGUCCUAUCAGCUUGAUGGCGGGGUAACGGCCCACCAUGGCUUCGACGGGUAGCCGGCCUGAGAGGGCGACCGGCCACAUUGGGACUGAGAUACGGCCCAGACUCCUACGGGAGGCAGCAGUGGGGAAUAUUGCACAAUGGGCGCAAGCCUGAUGCAGCGACGCCGCGUGAGGGAUGGAGGCCUUCGGGUUGUAAACCUCUUUUGUUAGGGAGCAAGGCAUUUUGUGUUGAGUGUACCUUUCGAAUAAGCACCGGCUAACUACGUGCCAGCAGCCGCGGUAAUACGUAGGGUGCAAGCGUUAUCCGGAAUUAUUGGGCGUAAAGGGCUCGUAGGCGGUUCGUCGCGUCCGGUGUGAAAGUCCAUCGCUUAACGGUGGAUCCGCGCCGGGUACGGGCGGGCUUGAGUGCGGUAGGGGAGACUGGAAUUCCCGGUGUAACGGUGGAAUGUGUAGAUAUCGGAAA